AGUGAUAAGGUGUAAAGGCAUGCACAACAGUCUCAUGACCUGUUAGGUUGGGUUCGAAUCCCAAUUUCGCUA